rnacentral:rRNA from 1 species
CCUACGGGUGGCAGCAGUAGGGAAUCUUUCACAAUGGGCGAAAGCCUGAUGGAGCAACGCCGCGUGCAGGAUGAAGGCCUUCGGGUUGUAAACUGCUUUUAUAAGCGAGAAAUAUGAUGGUAACUUAUGAAUAAGGAUCGGCUAACUACGUGCCAUCAGCCGCGGUCAUACGUAUGCUCAGAGCAUUAUCCGGAGUGACUGGGUGUAAAGAGUUGCGUAGGUGGCAUAAUAAGUAGCUAGUGAAAUCUGGUGGCUCAACCAUUCAGACUAUUAGCUAAACUGUUAAGCUCGAGACCGUUAGGGGUAACUGGAAUUUCUAGUGUAGGAGUGAAAUCCGUAGAUAUUAGAAGGAACACCAAUAGCGUAGGCAGGUUGCUGGGACGGUUCUGACACUAAGGCACGAAAGCGUAGGGAGCAAACGGGAUUAGAUACCCUUGUAGUC